ensembl:lncRNA
GGUGGAGAGAGAAAAAGAAAGAAAGGGGGUGGUAAAUGUCAGUUCCAAAGAGAAACAACAGGGGCUAGAGUUUGAUGGCACAGUAGGACCUAGGUCAUACCGGUGCUUGUUGCUUAAGACUUGUCUAAGUAAAACCAUAGCUGAGUUAAAGCCACCAGUUCAACAACUACUGAAGUGUCCCAUCAAGUGGCCUCAACGUAAAAAUACUCAAUAAGACGUGUGUGUGAAUAUGCCCCUCAAUAAGCUGUUAGACGUGUGUGAAUAUGCCCCUCAAUAAGCUGUUAGAUGUGUGUGUGAAUAUGCCCCUCUAUAAACUGUUAGACGUGUGUGAAUAUGCCCCUCUAUAAACUGUUAGACGUGUGUGAAUAUGCCCCUCUAUAAACUGUUAGACGUGUGUGAAUAUGCCCCUCCAUAAGCUGUUAGAUGUGUGUGAUAUGACUAUGCCCCUCCAAUUGACCUCCAAUGACCUGGCACUUGUGAGUUGUCCAGAUGAUAACUAAGCAUAGCGGGGCUUGUCACAUUACAUCACAUGAUCACGAGGAGUGUUUAACCUCUUCAGUUCAGGGAAAGAGCCAGAGAG